GCCCGGGAGAGACCGCGGAUACCGCGGCACCGAAGGGGAAGAAACUCUCAGGUAGAAGGAUCGGGC
rnacentral:ncRNA from 1 species